UACGUAGGGUGCAAGCGUUGUCCGGAAUUAUUGGGCGUAAAGAGCUCGUAGGCGGUUUGUUGCGUCGGCUGUGAAAUCCCGAGGCUCAACCUCGGGUCUGCAGUCGAUACGGGCGGACUUGAGUUCGGCAGGGGAGACUGGAAUUCCUGGUGUAGCGGUGAAAUGCGCAGAUAUCAGGAGGAACACCGGUGGCGAAGGCGGGUCUCUGGGCCGAUACUGACGCUGAGGAGCGAAAGCGUGGGGAGCGAACAGG
rnacentral:rRNA from 1 species